GCCAGUGAUGACACAAACUUUGGUUGACUGAAAUGCAAGUAUGAGUGCUUGCAUUGUGUUGAAAUUCAUGAACUAGGACGGUCUGAGGC